rnacentral:rRNA from 1 species
UACGGAGGAGGCAAGCGUUAUCCGGAAUUAUUGGGCGUAAAGCGUCCGCAGGUGGGACUUCAAGUCUGUCGUCAAAGACUGGGGCUUAACCCCGGAAAGGCGGUGGAAACUGAAGCGCUAGAGUGCGGUAGGGGUAGAGGGAAUUCCCGGUGUAGCGGUGAAAUGCGCAGAGAUCGGGAAGAACAUCGGUGGCGAAAGCGCUCUACUGGACCGCAACUGACACUCAGGGACGAAAGCUAGGGGAGCGAAUGGG